rnacentral:rRNA from 1 species
UACGUAGGGCGCAAGCGUUGUCCGGAAUUAUUGGGCGUAAAGAGCUCGUAGGCGGUCUGUCGCGUCCGUUGUGAAAACUCGAGGCUCAACCUCGGGCUUGCAGUGGAUACGGGCAGACUAGAGUGCGGUAGGGGAGACUGGAAUUCCUGGUGUAGCGGUGGAGUGCGCAGAUAUCAGGAGGAACACCGAUGGCGAAGGCAGGUCUCUGGGCCGCGAACUGACGCUGAGGAGCGAAAGCAUGGGGAGCGAACAGG